UACGUAGGGGGCAAGCGUUGUCCGGAAUCAUUGGGCGUAAAGAGCGUGUAGGCGGCUCGAUAAGUCUGCUGUGAAAGUCCAGGGCUCAACCCUGGAAGGCCGGUGGAAACUGUCGGGCUAGAGUCCGGAAGAGGCGAGUGGAAUUCCCGGUGUAGCGGUGAAAUGCGCAGAUAUCAAGAGGAACACCUGCGGCGAAGGCGGGUUGCUGGGCCGACACUGACGCUGAGGCGCGAAAGCUAGGGGAGCGAACGGG
rnacentral:rRNA from 1 species